GCCAGCAGCCAUAUCACCCUGCAACCCUGCAACUAGCAACCCGCUGAUGCUAAGCAGGUGUGAGCCUGGUCAGUACCUGAAUGGGAGACCUCCUGGGAAAAACUAAGGUUGGUGCUGGAA
rnacentral:rRNA from 1 species